CUGGUCUUGUUGAAUCUUGCAGUCUGUGAUAACUAUCUUUGUUAGAAAGGCUCUUGUGUCUUUAAGAAACGGCGGUGCGUGCAAAGGACUAUGGGUGCACGCAGGACUAGAGCGCGGGAGAGCCGGAGAGAUAGCAUGUCAGCGAGCGGUAGCUUAUAAUUAGUUAACUUAGUUGUUCCUGAAAGUAAUAAACUCCGUGGGUUAUGUAUGCGUCACUGAUGAACGACGAACCAGUACCAGCAGUGGAGGCCGUCGGAGGAAAUGCCACACUGGGCCGCCGGCACCCAGCUCCCUCACCAUAUCUGGAUCUGCUCCCAUCCCGGUGGCGACCAGCAGGGCUCAGCAGGGCAGAAGACGCCGUAGAAAUACGGCGGGAGGCCGGUCAGGCCGUAGAAAGAAGUACAAAAAACAGAAGGGGCCAUUUACCAAAAAUUUACAGAAGCUGCUAACCUUCAGUGACAGCAAAUUGGCAAACCCCUUUGACUCAAUCCAGGUGGGUGACCAGAUCCCGUGUGAGGAUCUCACCCAGAGUGACGACGAGGUUGCUAGCAUCCUGUGUCGCACUCCAUCAAUUUUAGAGCCUGAGCCCUGCUCACCAGCCUUCUCUUCCACUUCCUUCUUAUUUCCAUCACCAGUCCCAUCCUCUUUUGCCUCCUCUCCAUCCCCAUCUUUUUUUACAGACUCUCCUCCUCCGUCACCAUGUGUAGUCUCACCUGUAAGCCCAGCUC